CAGCGGGAUCGGCCGGCCACUGACCACACCCUUACUUUACGAGCACCUUUCGUUCUCCUUCGGCGGGGCGACCCGCCGCUGGAACCUCAUCACGAACCAUUUUUUUGCAUCUAGCAUUACCUGUUCUGAUAAAUAUAAUCGUUACAACUUUCAACAAUGGAUCUCUUGGUUCUGGCAUCGAUGAAGAACGCAGCGAAAUGCGAUAAGUAGUGUGAAUUGCAGAAUUCCGUGAACCAUCGAAUCUUUGAACGCACAUUGCGCCCCUUGGUAUUCCAUGGGGCAUACCUGUUCGAGCGUCAUUUAAAAUUUCAAGCUCAGCUUGGUGUUGGGUGUUUGUCCCGCCCCGCGCGCGGACUCGCCUCAAAAGCAUUGGCAGCCGGUACGUUGGCUUUGAGCGCAGCAGAUUUGCGUCUCGGUGCCUGGCGGACUGGUUCUCCAGAAGCCCCUUUAAAGUUUGACCUCGGAUCAGUAGGAUACCCGCUGAACUUAAGCAUAUCAAUAAGCGGAGGA
rnacentral:sRNA from 1 species